UGAGCAAUCUGCCCUUCUCAUCGGAAUAAGCGUUGGAAACGACGUCUAAUGCCGAAUACGACCUCCUUUCACAUGAUCGGAGGUGGAAAGCUCCGGCGGAGAAGGAUGAGCUCGCGGCCUAUCAGCUAGUUGGUGUGGGUAAUGGCUCACCAAGGCAACGACGGGUAGCUGGUCUGAGAGGAUGGCCAGCCACAUUGGGACUGAGACACGGCCCAGAUCCUACGGG
rnacentral:rRNA from 1 species